UUCGAUUCUUUCUCCGAGCCUUUCCGCCUACAGGGUUUCCCCCCCAUGGUGCAAGGCCUAAGGGUUCCGCGGGAAACUGCGGCGCCUCCCUUUGGAAAGGAGAAUUCACGCGGCCUGC
rnacentral:ncRNA from 2 species